UACGAGGGGGGCAAAUGUUGUUCGGAAUCACUGGGCGUAAAGGGAGCGUAGGCGGGUCUUUAAGUCAGGGGUGAAAUCCUGGAGCUCAACUCCAGAACUGCCUUUGAUACUGAAGAUCUUGAGUUCGGGAGAGGUGAGUGGAACUGCGAGUGUAGAGGUGAAAUUCGUAGAUAUUCGCAAGAACACCAGUGGCGAAGGCGGCUCACUGGCUCGUUUCUGACGCUCAGGCGCGAUAGCGUGGGGAUCAAACAGG
rnacentral:rRNA from 1 species